rnacentral:ncRNA from 2 species
UCGGAUAGACCGGGUCGCCCUCAUAUAAGUCCGGAAAUAUGGUCCGGAUGUCUCUACCAGGCCGCCGUAAAUGGCCUGUCUAUGAAGGCGGAUGCUAUACGU